ACCCGCUGAACUUAAGCAUAUCAAUAAGCGGAGGAAAAGAAACCAACAGGGAUUGCCCUAGUAACGGCGAGUGAAGCGGCAUCAGCUCAAAUUUGAAAUCUGGCUCUUUUAGGGUCCGAGUUGUAAUUUGCAGAGGGCGCUUUGGCAUAGGCAGCGAUUCAAGUUCCUUGGAACAGGACGUCACAGAGGGUGAGAAUCCCGUACGUGGUCGCUAGCUCUUGCCGUGUAAAGCCCCUUCGACGAGUCGAGUUGUUUGGGAAUGCAGCUCUAAAUGGGAGGUAAAUUUCUUCUAAAGCUAAAUAUUGGCCAGAGACCGAUAGCGCACAAGUAGAGUGAUCGAAAGAUGAAAAGUACUUUGGAAAGAGAGUCAAAAAGCACGUGAAAUUGUUGAAAGGGAAGCGCUUGCAGCCAGACUUGCCUGUAGUUGCUCAUCUGGGCUCUUGCCCGGUGCACUCUUCUGUAGGCAGGCCAGCAUCAGUUUGGGCGGUUGGAUAAAGGUCUCUGUCAUGUACCUCUCUUCGGGGAGGCCUUAUAGGGGAGGCGACAUACAACCAGCCUGGACUGAGGUCCGCGCAUUCGUGCUAGGAUGCUGGCGUAAUGGCUGU
rnacentral:rRNA from 1 species